UACGGAGGUGGCAAGCGUUGCUCGGAAUCACUGGGCGUAAAGGGCGCGUAGGCGGGGAGGUAAGUCGGGUGUGAAAUCCCUUGGCCCAACCGAGGAACUGCGCCCGAGACUGCUUCUCUUGAGUCCCGGAGAGGAAGGUGGAAUUCCCGGUGUAGCGGUGAAAUGUGUAGAGAUCGGGAGGAACACCGGUGGCGAAGGCGGCCUUCUGGACGGUGACUGACGCUGAGGCGCGAAGCGUGGGAGCAAACGGG
rnacentral:rRNA from 1 species